UUCCCACCGCGCGGCUCCUGCUGGCUGAGCAAAUCGUGAGCUUCGGUUCCCUAUUGUAUUGUACUUCCUUUUCCCUGCAUCAAAUCUGCUAUCCCUUGGUAUGAUUCAUGAUUUUUUUGAUGUGGUUGUGGAGGUGCAAAGCAUUCAUGGCGUUGGUGACAUGAGAUUUGGAACUGGCCACACUGAGGAAGGAAGUCAGCUCAGGAGAAUAUCAAGUUAGAAUGUCGAUGCUUACGAGGAAGAAGGGGAGAAUCUCAUUUUGUGUUUGCACAGUUUUGCAACCAUGCCUCGUGCCUCGACAUGCAUCUAAUGUUCUGCUGCUUGAUGCUAUUUAUUUAGCCAUUUUAUAACCUGGUGCUCUUAGCAUCAUUGAACUCUGUUGUGGAUAUCGCAUGACUGCAAACUGUGUUAUCUCCACCUUCCUUUACUAUCUUAGUACUCCAGUUUUAUUUGGAUCAGUAUUCUACUAAUGCUGAUUGUGUAAUGUAAUUUAUGGCUUGAUAGAACCUAGCUACAGGCUGCAAAUGCCAUUCAGUCAACAGUAUCAGUGCUAUUAAGAUAUUUGCAUGGGAUAUUUCAUGUUAUUAUGGUUCA